ensembl:lncRNA
UAUAAAAUAUAUAUAUAUAAAUAAUAACAAAGCAGGCUUACACAAAUACAAACAGCAAGUGUGAAGAAACGAUGGCACGGACUGCUGAUAAGAGAGGAAUGCUGCACAGCUUUCUUUUCCUGCAUCUUUGCUGUACACGCAUCUGGGAACUUGACAAGCUGUCACAAGGCGGAGGAAAUAAACAGAUGUGGACUGCUGAUAAGAAUCUGGUGAACAUUCAGAGCCUGGCGCUGAUUUGCCCCAUGGCUUGCUCGUUAUCGGAACACCAUUAUAAACUCUCACCUGGGGAAGCGCUCCAGCCUGCCCGAGCAACUUGCAUCUGGCGUCAAUCGUGGCCAUAAAACCAGCCCAUGAGUCAUCGAACAGCCCAGGUGUCUACAAUUCCCCACUUCCACAGCACCUGACGGCAUGUGGCCACUUUCAGAUCACAAUCUCCCUGUCUCUAUUUAAGGAUGGUGAAGAGAGCUCUAAGAGGUGUAGUCCAGUCCCGGACAUGCUUAGGGCUGAAUGAAACACUCUCACUCAUUUCCCGAAAAGUCAGCACACACUGUGAGUGAUCAAAGUGGAAUGACAUGCUCAAGGAGGGUAAGAGCAACUGCACGAACACCAGCAGUGUGGCUUGCAUAACCGGCAGAUGCCUGCUCUUGAAAAAGAUUGUCCUGACUUGCAAAUCUGUUCCUUGUUCGAUGGCGAGAAGAGUGUGUCGGUGGUACCCACACUUGGAGGUCUCAGUUGUCUAGAGAGCUUCUACACAGUUCAAGAUAAGGCAGCAUUACAGAAGAAGAACUAAUGCACAACACUGUGUAUGGAAGCCUGCUGUAUAUACAGGAGUAAAGAAUUCUCCUGUCAGUGAAGGGAACAUGGGUUCAAUCCUUGGUCCAGGAAGAUCCCACAUGCUGCAAGACAACGAAGCCUGAAAGCCCGUGCACCACAGCUGCUGGGCCUGUGCUCUGCGGCAGGAGAAGCCACAGCAGUGAGAAGCUGCACGCAAGAGAGCAGCCCUGCCCGGCGCAACUAGAGAGAAGCCUGCACAGCCACAAGCGUGCAGCCCAGCCAAGAAUAAAAGAAAUAAAAAUCACCUUCUAAAAAUGGUUAAUCUUACAUCACAUGAACUGUACCUCAAUAAAGUUUAAUUUUAAAAUUCUAGGGGGAAAAGUAGCUGAGGAAUUAAGCCCAAAACAUCUAGAAAUCAAUUUUGGAUUAAUUCAUUCUACAAACAUUUUUGCACACUCAGUAAAGAUUGAAGGCAAAAGAAGAAGGAGGCAGCAGAGAAUGAGAUGAUUAGAUAGCUAAUCACUGACUCAGUGGACAUGAAUUCGAAUAAAUUCUGGGAGACAGUGGAAGACAGAGGAGCCUGGUGUGCUGCAGUCCAUGGGGUCGCAAAGGGGUGGACAUGACUUAGCUACUGAACAGCAACGAAUUUCUUAGCACAUCCCCACGACUGCACAAUAUAUUUUAACAUUAAUGAUAUAAGCAACUCUGAAGCAAAUUAAUUUUUAAAAGGUUAUAAAUUUGGACCAUGGAACAAUAGAUUCAACUGAUGAGUUCAGAGUGAAUUCUUUCCGUUGCCUUCAAGUCUUCCUACCCCAAAAUCUUACUUAGUAAAAACUGGCCGAUCUCUAGUUACCUGAGAGAUUCCCUUACCUUGUAAGUUAGGCUCAAUAUGACAUGAAUAGCCUUCAAUCAAGUCAAUGAAAGUGUUUUAGAAGGAUAAGGGUAAAAUAAAUAUAUCUUGGGCUGUAGUUUAUUUCUCUUUCUCUUCACUUAUUUUGAAAAUCAACACUUCUGAGGUAUAAUUUACAUUUAAUAAAAUGUCCCAUGGUAAGUGCAUAGCUGGUGAGUUGUAAUGCACAUGUACUUGUAUAUAACCACCACUCUGAUCAAGAGACCAAAUAUCCCUGUCACCCUAGAUUGCAU